rnacentral:rRNA from 1 species
UGGGGAAUUUUGCACAAUGGGGGAAACCCUGAUGCAGCGACGCCGCGUGAUUUAGAAGGCCUUCGGGUUGUAAAAAUCUUUUGUAUAGGAAGAAAAUGACAGUACUAUACGAAUAAGGACCGGCUAAUUACGUGCCAGCAGCCGCGGUAAUACGUAAGGUCCGAGCGUUGUCCGGAAUCAUUGGGCGUAAAGGGCGCGCAGGCGGUCUGUUAAGUCAGAUGUGAAAGGUUAGGGCUCAACCCUGAACGUGCAUCUGAUACUGGCAGACUUGAGUAUGGAAGAGGUAAGUGGAAUUCCUAGUGUAGCGGUGAAAUGCGUAGAUAUUAGGAGGAACACCAGUGGCGAAGGCGACUUACUGGGCCAUAACUGACGCUGAGGCGCGAAAGCGUGGGGAGCAAACAGG